UUGGGACAGGAUUUCCUUCCAUACAUGAGUGUAGUCAUGCCUCCUUUGCUUCAAUCUGCUCAACUAAAGCCUGAUGUGACCAUAUCAUCUGCAGAUUCUGACAAUGAACAAGCUUCAAUCUGCUCAACUAAAGCCUGAUGUGACCAUAUCAUCUGCAGAUUCCGACAAUGAACUUGAUGAUUCAGAUGACGAUAGGUAAAUCCUUUAGAAUGAUGUUUGCCUCCUAUUUAAUUUAGAAAGUUAUUGACAUUCCUCUAAGUUCUGGUAAUUAUUAUAUUCAAUUUUGGGGGGGGGGGGGGAAGUCAGAAUUGGCAAAUAAUGUGCCAUAUGAUACUUUGGG
rnacentral:lncRNA from 1 species